GGGAUCUCUGCUGUAACGUGACAUUUUCUAAUGCUCCCAUAGGCUCUCAGAAGGCGCCAGAACGUUGAAUGAUGACUUUGCAGGCCAUGGCUGAAAAACAGUAGCGCAUUUGGAUAGUGGUCGAUCUGAGAACAAUGAGACUGGCGCACACGUGCACGAGAAGAGUCCAUUUUACUUUCUCUAUCUUUGAACGAAAACAACGACUCCCGGUCGGAAUAUUAUCGCUUUUUUUACGAGAAAAAUUGCAUAAAAAUUGAUUUUAAACAGCGUUUGACAUGCUUCGAAGUACGGUAAUGGAAUAUUUUGAAAUGUAUUGUCACGAAACGCGCCGGGCGCAUCACCCUUCAUUACCCUUCGGAUAGUGUCUUGAACGCACAACAAAACGCCGCUAUUUGGAUAUAACUAUGGAUUAUUUGAAACCAAAACAACAUUGGGUGAUGAAGUAGAAGUCCUGGGAGUGCAUUCUGAUGAAGAACAGCAAAGGACCUGAGCCCUAGGACCAUGCCUCAGGACUACCUGGCAUGAUGACUCCUUGCUGUCCCCAGUCCACCUGGCCGUGCUGCUGCUCCAGUUUCAACUGUUCUGCCUGCGGCUAUGGAACCCUGACCUGUUCACCGGACGUGCUUGUUGCACCCUCGACAACUACUAUGAUUAUUAUUAUUUGACCAUGCUGGUCAUUUAUGAACAUUUUAACAUCUUGACCAUGUUCUGUUAUAAUAUCCACCCGGCACAACCAGAAGAGGACUGGCCACCCCUCAUAGCCUGGUUCCUCUCUAGGUUUCUUCCUAGGUUUUUGGCCUUUCUAGGGAGUUUUUCCUAGGGAGUUUUUCCUAGCCACCGUGCUUCUUUCACAUGCAUUGCUUGCUGUUUGGGGUUUUAGGCUGGGUUUCUGUAC
rnacentral:lncRNA from 1 species